GUGUUGGGUGUGGGGGUUGCGACGCAGGGAGAGCAGGAAGGGGGAGAACCCUUCUUCUCCAUCUUACCAAGAAAAUCUACAAAUUGAAGGCGACUUUGGAUGAAAUUCGUUUGCAUGAACCCCAAAUUGACAUGGACUCAAAUAUGGAAGGCUAACGGAUCAAGAGGAAAUGAGGAAGUUAUGCACAAACUUGGACGCACGAGGUAAGUGAUUUCUAUAAUCACUUCUUUAGUUGUUUAAGUAAUAUAAUGUUUUAAUUAUUAAGUUCAUAUGAAGUUGAGGUCAAAUCAAUAGAUUAUUUUGAUAAAUGCACGAAUGGGUCGAAUAAUUCAUAGAUGAAUAACAAGCCGAAUAUGUAUAAGUUAAGAAAUUCCUUAACUCGAAUGUUGGACUUCAAGAUCACAUGAUAGAAUAUUAAAUUACAAUCAUAUAGGAAGAAACGUGACGCAAAACGGAUGAAAAAUGAGAGAGUUAUGUCCGUUUCGGUAAGGAUUAAUAGCUAGAAAAAGUGCAGAGUUGACACGGCCGGGUGGUGAACUGACACGGCCGGGUGAAGGUUCUGUCAGAAAUAUUAUUUGUGUGAUUUAUGCGCCGUAGGCUUGGGUAUAUUAUCUGUGAACUACGACGGGCCUCCCAGACAUGAGUUCGAGUGUUUCCUUGACGAUUAUAAGUUGUAAACCCAAGUCUAAGCCUCAUGUAAUUUAUAUAAGAGUGUGAUAGAUGUAUGUAAUAAAGUUGGACAUGUAUUACAUGUAAAUGUAUACAAAAAUACGUACGGAACACGUAGGUAUGAAUACAUGAUUGUAGGUAUGAUUAAAUGUAUAUUAGGUAUGUAGAUGUGUAUGACUGUAAGUUUGUAUGUGUGCAAGUAUGUGCGAAUGCAUGAUUUGGAUGCAUUUGAGAAUUAGAGUUACUAAUAAUGCCCUUGGGUUUGGAAUGUAAGUUAAUGGGAUGCAUUUAAAUGGUUGACGUCCUUUUAUGAAGAUGUAGUAAACGAAUAUGUUGAGAUUACGGGUUUGGCUAACCAAGUCAUUAUUGAGUAUGUUUGAAAGUGCAGGUUAUGAAUGUCGGACUUUCGAAGCGUUGAUAUAAUAAUGAAACGGUUGUAUGUUGAAAGGAUAAUCGGAUUGAAGUAACUUAUGUGGUUAGAAUAUGCUAUGGACGUUUUAGUUUAUACAACAUUUUAUGUUUGGUCGUCAUCAUCUACUAACGGGUUAGUUGUUUGAAAAUAUAUGUCAUACCCAUUUAAUUGGGUAAUCGAAUGCGUGAGAGAAAUGAAAUUGCAUACACGAACGGAACUAAAGUGACGGUUUUAUAAGUAAAUAAGUAAGUGACUAACUUUUUAAAGCUUUGUUGUUGAAUGUAGGUAAAUCCUCAAUUCAGGCGACUUGGAGAAUCGGAGCGAGCGCGUGUUCAUGUUAUGUCAUACCAAACGCUUCCGCUAGCUUGUUCAAAUGUUUUAGUCCAAAAUUUGUUGUAUUGAUUCUUAGUAGUAUUUUGUCGAAUGAAUCAUAGAAUUGUAUCUAGUUUGAUUAUAUUUAAAACAGGGGUAUGCUCGUUUUAUGGACGGGUCAUGCCCAAAUUUUGUUAAAUUAAUACACGUGCGUUAUU
rnacentral:lncRNA from 1 species